GCGCCACUGCUUGGAGGAGGAUACGUUUCGCAUCGAAAGUGAAAAUAAAGAUGUGAUUUACUAAAGGAGAAAGUGUAGGCGUGUCAGUGAGGCGGAGCAGACUGCGGACUGCGGACUGCGGGCUGCAGCACAGCAGGCUCCCCUGGAUUCUGAAUGUUUUCUAUGAAACGUGACUGAUCGGAAAGUCUGGAAGCAGAGAAACUUUACGACAUCGAUCCGCUUCUUUAUCUGUGACAGGAGGCAGCUCCACCCACAGCUCCACCCUCUGCACUGGUAUGUUGACGUGUUGGGAUGUUACAGUGUGUGGUCCCUAAAUUCACAAAGUCAAAAUGAAAUCAGGCAAAUUUUCUGAAAUGCUGUUUCUGCACAGCAGGAGCCUCCUCUGUGGUGAACUUCAGACUGGGCACAGCCAUGCCAGGAACAUUCCUCUUUCCUACUGACUACCAAACCGGACACGGACACGUACACACACUUCAUCUCUUGGGAGUCGGUGUUUCCAUUCCAUGUACAGUGACAUCAAUGAGGACCAGCUGCUCAGUCAAAGUAAACCAUUAUAUUAAACUCUGUACACCCAUUAUUAUUGUCUAAACCGUCUGCAAUUCCACACGAAGUCACAGUGUGGGAAGUGAAAUACCUCUGCUCAGUCAAGAGCUCAGUCAAGAGCGGUGGAUUUGUAGAUGGAGCCUACAAAUCCACUGUAGCUCAUCUGUGAUUUUAUGGAUUCUUGUAGUUUUUGGAUUUCACUCUGUUUGCCUAUUUGCCACACUUAAUCAUUUCAGAUCAUCAAACAAACAUUAGUAUCAGACCAAAAAAAAAAA